rnacentral:tRNA from 1 species
CCUGGUGGCUCAGAGGGUAAAGCGUCUGCCUGCAAUGCAGGAGACCUGGGUUUGAUCCCUGUGUCAGGA